rnacentral:rRNA from 1 species
AACGAACGCUGGCGGCGCGCUUAAUACAUGCAAGUCGAACGAGAAGGUGUAGCAAUACACUUGUAAAGUGGCGAACGGGUGAGGAAUACAUGGGUAACCUACCCUCGAGUGGGGAACAACCAGCCGAAAGGUUGGCUAAUACCGCGUACGCUUCCGGGUCUUCGGAUUCGGAAGGAAAGUCAUACCGUGGGUAUGACGCUCAAGGAUGGGCUCAUGUCCUAUCAGCUUGUUGGUAGGGUAACGGCCUACCAAGGCUCCGACGGGUAGCUGGUCUGAGAGGACGAUCAGCCACACUGGCACUGCGACACGGGCCAGACUCCUACGGGAGGCAGCAGUAAGGAAUAUUGCGCAAUGGGCGAAAGCCUGACGCAGCGACGCCGCGUGGGGAUGAAGGUCUUCGGAUUGUAAACCCCUUUCGGGAGGGAAAUGGAACGAGCAAUCGUUCGGAUGGUACCUCCAGAAGCAGCCACGGCUAACUUCGUGCCAGCAG